rnacentral:rRNA from 1 species
AGAGUUUGAUUCUGGCUCAGAACGAACGCUGGCGGCGUGGAUAAGACAUGCAAGUCGAACGGGGAACUUACUUAGCUUGCUUUGAAAGUUCCUAGUGGCGAACGGGUGAGUAACACGUGAGUUACCUGCCCUGAAGCGGGGGAUAGCCUUUCGAAAGGAAGAUUAAUACCCCAUGUGAUCGUAAGAUUAAAGGCGGCUUCGGCUGUCGCUUCAGGAUGGGCUCGCGGCCUAUCAGCUAGUUGGUAAGGUAACUGCUUACCAAGGCGAUGACGGGUAGCUGGUCUGAGAGGACGACCAGUCACACUGGAACUGAGACACGGUCCAGACACCUACGGGUGGCAGCAGUCGAGAAUCAUUCGCAAUGGACGAAAGUCUGACGGUGCGACGCCGCGUGGAGGAUGAAGGCCCUAGGGUCGUAAACUCCUGUCAUCAGGGAGUAAUGACUCACGCAGUAACUGGCGUGGGUAGUGAUAGUACCUGAAGAGGAAGGGACGGCAAACUUCGUGCCAGCAGCCGCGGUAAUACGAAGGUCUCAAGCGUUGUUCGGAUUUACUGGGCGUAAAGAGUCUGUAGGCUGUUUUGUAAGUCAGGUGUGAAAUCCCGGGGCUCAACCCCGGAACUGCACCCGAUACUGCAAGACUAGAGUAUUGGAGGGGAGUCUGGAAUUCUCGGUGUAGCAGUGAAAUGCGUAGAUAUCGAGAGGAACACUAGUGGCGAAGGCGAGACUCUGGACAAUUACUGACGCUGAGAGACGAAGGCCAGGGUAGCGAAAAGGAUUAGAUACCCUUGUAGUCCUGGCAGUAAACGGUGUGCGCUUGGUGUGAGAGGAUUCGACCCCUUUCGUGCCGGAGCUAACGCGUUAAGCGCACCGCCUGGGGAGUACGGCCGCAAGGCUAAAACUCAAAGAAAUUGACGGGGACCCGCACAAGCGGUGGAGUAUGUGGCUUAAUUCGAUGCAACGCGAAGAACCUUA